UACGUAGGGUGCAAGCGUUAAUCGGAAUUACUGGGCGUAAAGCGUGCGCAGGCGGCUUUGUAAGUCCGAUGUGAAAUCCCCGGGCUUAACCUGGGAACUGCAUUGGUGACUGCAAGGCUUGAGUGCGGCAGAGGAGACUGGAAUUCCUGGUGUAGCAGUGAAAUGCGUAGAUAUCAGGAGGAAUACCGAUGGCGAAGGCAGGUCUCUGGGCUGACACUGACGCUCAUGCACGAAAGCGUGGGGAGCAAACAGG
rnacentral:rRNA from 1 species